rnacentral:rRNA from 1 species
GACGAACGCUGGCGGCGUGCUUAACACAUGCAAGUCGAACGGAAAGGCCCUGCUUGCUGGGUACUCGAGUGGCGAACGGGUGAGUAACACGUGGGUGAUCUGCCCUGCACUUCGGGAUAAGCUUGGGAAACUGGGUCUAAUACCGGAUAGGAGCCAUCUUUAGUGUGGUGGUUGGAAAGUUUUUUCGGUGUAGGAUGAGCUCGCGGCCUAUCAGCUUGUUGGUGGGGUAAUGGCCUACCAAGGCGGCGACGGGUAGCCGGCCUGAGAGGGUGUACGGCCACAUUGGGACUGAGAUACGGCCCAGACGCCUACGGGAGGCAGCAGUGGGGAAUAUUGCACAAUGGGCGCAAGCCUGAUGCAGCGACGCCGCGGGGGGGAUGAAGGCCUUCGGGUUGUAAACUCCUUUCGCUAGGGACGAAGCUUUUUGUGACGGUACCUAGAGAAGAAGCACCGGCUAACUACGUG